UACGGAGGAUCCAAGCGUUAUCCGGAAUCAUUGGGUUUAAAGGGUCCGUAGGCGGUUUUGUAAGUCAGUGGGGAAAGCCCAUCGCUCAACGGUGGAACGGCCAUUGAUACUGCAAGACUUGAAUUAUUAGGAAGUAACUAGAAUAUGUAGUGUAGCGGUGAAAUGCUUAGAGAUUACAUGGAAUACCAAUUGCGAAGGCAGGUUACUACUAAUUGAUUGACGCUGAUGGACGAAAGCGUGGGGAGCGAACAGG
rnacentral:rRNA from 1 species